GUUGACACCUCAAAACUAGAAAGAACAGAGAGCCAGCAGCCAGAUUGACCUGGAACCAUUUUGAUUUGAUUUUUGCUAUGGUAAGAACUCAGAAAUCAGAAAGAAGAUAGACAAAAGUGACCAGGUAUAUAUUAUAUUGCUGGGUUUGAUAAUUUACCUUUCCUUUAUCUUUGUGAUGAUAGUAUCAUCAGCAUCAACUGCCACAGUUGGCUAAAAG